rnacentral:rRNA from 1 species
GGGCGUAAAGCGCAUGCAGGUGGUUUGUUUAAGUUCAGAUGUGAAAGACCCGGGGCGUCAACCUCGGAAUAGCAUUUGUAAACUAGGCAGACUAGAGUACUGUAGAGGGGGGUAGGAAGUUUCAGGUGUAGCGGUGAAAUGCGUAGAGAUCUGAAGGAAUACCGGUGGCGAAGGCGGCCCCCUCGGACAGAUACUGACACUCAGAUGCGAAAGCGUGGGGAGCAAACAGGAUUAGAUACCCCUGGUAG